rnacentral:rRNA from 1 species
UACGUAGGGUGCAAGCGUUGUCCGGAAUUAUUGGGCGUAAAGAGCGUGUAGGCGGCCUUACAGGUCAGCUGUGAAAACUCGAGGCUCAACCUCGAGAGGUCGGUUGAAACCGUAAGGCUAGAGUCCGGAAGAGGAGAGUGGAAUUCCCGGUGUAGCGGUGAAAUGCGCAGAUAUCGGGAAGAACACCCGUGGCGAAGGCGGCAUCCUGGACCGGCAUUGACGCUGAGGCGCGAAAGCUAGGGAGCAAACGGG